ACAAGAAAAAAUCCUGUGGAUAAAAGAUUACUAUCACCUUUGUACCACUCCAUAGCUUCUCUGUCAAAUAUACAUACAGAGGAUAACCUUAAGUUGAAAGUAUUGAACAUAGAGACAAAUAUUGUUAAUGGAGAUCUCACAGAAAAAGAAAAUAACGGCUAUGUCAAUACUGAAAACGGAUGUCGACUUUAAGAAUAUGAACUUCAAUGAAAAAGACUGGAAACAACCUCCUGCCAUUGCCAACAUUGAACAUCUUCAACAUAUUUUGAUUUUUGAAGGAUAACAUCAAAUCUUCAUAGUGUUUCUGAUAUUCAGAAGCAUUAAAUAUAUGCAGCACAGUUAAUAGUUUCUUUACAUUACAUUGUUAAGUACAUAAGAACUUAUUUUGUAUUCUGUUUAUCUUAUUUCGAGUUUUUUGAGAUAUAAGUCAACGUUUUAAAGAUAACGAAAAGUGCAAAUCAUGUUAUAAACUCUAGGAUUCUUCAAUGAUCUUAAAUAAAAUCAAAACUAAAUGCACAAAAAUGAUGUGCGUAUCAUAUCACCAUGGAGAAGUUUCAUGUAUUAAAAGCAACCAGUGGCCACUAUAUGGAUGCUUGAUUUAGUAUUAUAUUAGUUUUCCUCAUAAUCGGAGAACGUCAAACUAAUUUGAACUAUGCCGAAGAGAUUCUUGUUUUAUUUUAUAGCUCGGAAAACAAAUUUUGCAAAAGCUUCAAACACAGUGAUCAAGGCAAUA